CCCUGGUGGUUCAGAUGGUAAAGAGUCUGCCUGCAAUGCAGGAGACCCAGGUUCAAUCCCUGGGUCAGGAA
rnacentral:tRNA from 1 species